rnacentral:rRNA from 1 species
GACGAACGCUGGCGGCGUGCCUAACACAUGCAAGUCGAACGGAAAGGGCCUGCUGUUGUGGGGUGCUCGAGCGGCGAACGGGUGAGUAACACGUGAGUAGCCUGCCCUUGACUUUGGGAUAACUUCAGGAAACUGGGGUUAAUACCGGAUAGGAGCUCCUGCUGCAUGGUGGGGGUUGGAAAGUUUCGGCGGUUGGGGAUGGACUCGCGGCUUAUCAGCUUGUUGGUGGGGUAGUGGCUUACCAAGGCUUUGACGGGUAGCCGGCCUGAGAGGGUGACCGGCCACAUUGGGACUGAGGUACGGCCCAGACUCCUACGGGAGGCAGCAGUGGGGAAUAUUGCACAAUGGGCGGAAGCCUGAUGCAGCAACGCCGCGUGCGGGAUGACGGCCUUCGGGUUGUAAACCGCUUUCGCCUGUGACGAAGCGUGAGUGACGGUAAUGGGUAAAGAAGCACCGGCUAACUACGUG